CCUACGGGUGACUGCAGUGAGGAAUAUUGGUCAAUGGCCGUAAGGCUGAACCAGCCAAGUCGCGUGAAGGAAGAAGGAUCUCUGGUUGGUAAACGUCUUUUAUAUGGGAGUAAAGUGCAGUAUGGAUACUGCUUUGCAUGUACCUUAUGAAUAAGGAUCGGGUAACCCCGUUCCAGCAGCCGCGGUAAGUAGGAGGAUCCGAGCGUUAUCCGGGUUUAUUGGGUUUAAAGGGAGCGGAGGCGGGUUUGUAAGUCAGUUAUGAAAGUUUGCGGCUCAACCGUAAGAUCGCAGUUGAUACUGGCAUACUAGAGUAAAGUAGAGGUAGGCGGAAUUCGUGGUGUAGCGGUGAAAUGCGUAGAUAUAACGAAGAACACCGAUUGCGAAGGCAGCCUGCUGGAUUUUUACUGACGCUGAUGCACGAAAGUGUGGGGAGCAAACAGGAUUAGAUACCCCAGUAGUC
rnacentral:rRNA from 1 species